rnacentral:rRNA from 1 species
UUGAAUUGAAGAGUUUGAUCAUGGCUCAGAUUGAACGCUGGCGGCAGGCUUAACACAUGCAAGUCGAACGGUAGCAGGAGAAAGCUUGCUUUCUUGCUGACGAGUGGCGGACGGGUGAGUAAUGCUUGGGAAUCUGGCUUAUGGAGGGGGAUAACGACGGGAAACUGUCGCUAAUACCGCGUAUUAUCGGAAGAUGAAAGUGCGGGACUGAGAGGCCGCAUGCCAUAGGAUGAGCCCAAGUGGGAUUAGGUAGUUGGUGGGGUAAAGGCCUACCAAGCCUGCGAUCUCUAGCUGGUCUGAGAGGAUGACCAGCCACACUGGAACUGAGACACGGUCCAGACUCCUACGGGAGGCAGCAGUGGGGAAUAUUGCGCAAUGGGGGGAACCCUGACGCAGCCAUGCCGCGUGAAUGAAGAAGGCCUUAGGGUUGUAAAGUUCUUUCGGUAUUGAGGAAGGUUGAUGUGUUAAUAGCACAUCAAAUUGACGUUAAAUACAGAAGAAGCACCGGCUAACUCCGUGCCAGCAGCCGCGGUAAUACGGAGGGUGCGAGCGUUAAUCGGAAUAACUGGGCGUAAAGGGCACGCAGGCGGUUAUUUAAGUGAGGUGUGAAAGCCCUGGGCUUAACCUAGGAAUUGCAUUUCAGACUGGGUAACUAGAGUACUUUAGGGAGGGGUAGAAUUCCACGUGUAGCGGUGAAAUGCGUAGAGAUGUGGAGGAAUACCGAAGGCGAAGGCAGCCCCUUGGGAAUGUACUGACGCUCAUGUGCGAAAGCGUGGGGAGCAAACAGGAUUAGAUACCCUGGUAGUCCACGCUGUAAACGCUGUCGAUUUGGGGGUUGGGGUUUAACUCUGGCGCCCGUAGCUAACGUGAUAAAUCGACCGCCUGGGGAG